GACGAACGCUGGCGGCGUGCCUAAUACAUGCAAGUCGAACGCUUUUUCUUUCACCGGAGCUUGCUCCACCGAAAGAAAAAGAGUGGCGAACGGGUGAGUAACACGUGGGUAACCUGCCCAUCAGAAGGGGAUAACACUUGGAAACAGGUGCUAAUACCGUAUAACACUAUUUUCCGCAUGGAAGAAAGUUGAAAGGCGCUUUUGCGUCACUGAUGGAUGGACCCGCGGUGCAUUAGCUAGUUGGUGAGGUAACGGCUCACCAAGGCAACGAUGCACAGCCGACCGGAGCGGGUGAUAGGCCACACUGGGACUGAGACACGGCACAGACUCCUACGGGAGGCAGCAGUAGGGAGUCUUCGGCAAUGGACGAAAGUCUGACCGAGCAACGCCGCGUGAGUGAAGAAGGUUUUCGGAUCGUAAAACUCUGUUGUUAGAGAAGAACAAGGAUGAGAGUAAAACGUUCAUCCCUUGACGGUAUCUAACCAGAAAGCCACGGCUAACUACGUGCCAGCCGCCGCCGUAA
rnacentral:rRNA from 1 species